GCCACCAUAGAUCAGAGGUUAAAGCACUGGUCUCGUAAACCAAGGGUCGCGAGUUCGAUUCUCGCUGGUGGCG